UGUUAUUUAUAAUCGUUAUUGUGGCUAACUUCACACAAAGGUGAGCCCCGCUAGCUAGCGAGUAGCGAACUUAGCAUAGCUAUUUGCCAGCUGUAGGUUAGGUCAUUUAGCUAGCUACAGUAGCUAGUCAAUGUUAGAAAACUAGCUAGCUAAUACAAAAACAAACUCAAUAUACCACAUGGAAGGUAUACUCUGUACAAUGUGCUAUGGUAACUUGUUAGCUAGCUGGCCUAGUUGGUAGGCCUAAUAAUAUCGCCAGCUAACGUUUGCUACCUAGCUAAAUUUAGUUAAGUACGUUAGCUAGCUACAGUUAUGCCUCUGCAGUUAGCUAGCCAACACUUGGUGAGCAUAAUACAUAAUAAUAAAGAAAUCCCCAUCAAAAACCUUCUGUUUAAUAAGCAUUAGAUGUAUUCUUGCAUGGGCUGCGUCUUAAUCCACCACAUCCGCUGAUGUCUUUCCGUGGCAGAGCUGCGGUGUUGUUUGUCAGACCAGGAGACACCAACUUCUGUCUGUAUCGUCCGAAAAGUUCGGCCUACAAGCUGAGACUCACGAACAAGUACAUUUUUCUCUAGGACGCCCACAAGUGUCUGAAUGUUGCAGCUCCAGUGUUUGACUGCAGUCCUCCAGCUUCACUGAUGUCAUCUCUGGAUCCUGCAGUGCAAACUGGGCUCCACUGUCACAAUCAGGACCCCGUGACUGUAGGUUUGGACUCAGUGUGGAAGGAGAGAGGCAGGCUGGGUUUGUCCUCACUGUUGAUGUUACCGACCUCAG